rnacentral:ncRNA from 1 species
ACUUGAAUAGGCGAUGGAGUUCGCCAUAAUUGCCGGAAGGCUGAUGACUCCUACCAGUUG